rnacentral:tRNA from 1 species
GGGCGUGUAGCUCAGCGGGAGAGCACUACGUUGACAUCGUAGGGGUCACAGGUUCAAUCCCUGUCACGCCCACCG